rnacentral:ncRNA from 1 species
AUAGCUAGCACGAAGCUUUCUAUUCAACAGCUAAAGAAAAAACUGUCUCAUGCACCCACAAUAACGAAAGUAGUAGUAUACACCGACAAACAGUAUACUACACUCAGGGUUGCUUGAGAGUGCAGCCCUAAGUGGGUGGUAAACUCCAUCUAAGGCUUAAUAUUACCGCGAGACCGAUAGCGAACAAGUACCGUGAGGGAAAGUUGAUAAGAACUUUGAAGAGAGAGUUCAACAGUACGUGAAACCGCUCAGGGGUAAACCUGCGAAAAAAAGGCAAAAAAAAAUUGAAACAGUU